AUUGAACGCUGGCGGCAGGCCUAACACAUGCAAGUCGAGCGGAUGAGAAGAGCUUGCUCUUCGAAUCAGCGGCGGACGGGUGAGUAAUGCCUAGGAAUCUGCCUGGUAGKGGGGGACAACGUUUCGAAAGGAACGCWAAUACCGCAUACGUCUACGGGAGAAAGCAGGGGACCUUCGGGCCUUGCGCUAUCAGAUGAGCCUAGGUCGGAUUAGCUAGUUGGUGAGGWAAUGGCUCACCAAGGCUACGAUCCGUAACUGGUCUGAGAGGAUGAUCAGUCACACUGGAACKGAGACACGGUCCAGACUCCUACGGGAGGCAGCAGUGGGGAAUAUUGGACAAUGGGCGAAAGCCUGAUCCAGCCAUGCCGCGUGCGUGAAGAAGGCCUUCGGGUUGUAAAGCYCUUUCAGCAGGAGCGAAACGGUAGGCUUUAAUACAGCCUGCUAAUGACGAUACCUGCGGAAGAAGCACCGGCUAACUACGUGC
rnacentral:rRNA from 1 species